rnacentral:lncRNA from 1 species
CUCUUUAUUUGAUCUGAUCUUAUAUUUUCUGAUUUUAAUGUUUGCAGGUUUUGUCUUACACUUCUCUCGCAAUGGAGACAAUUAGCUUGCAUUGUUCAUAAUAAUAAGUAGAAAUAAGUUGCUAAAACGUGGAUGCAGAGCACAAAAUAAAUAAAUAAAUAAAAUGUUGUGUUUUAUUGACAUCAAGGGAAGGAUUGAGAUGAUCCCUUCAAAGGUGUGUUAUAUUUACUUUUUGUACAAAGUUGAUUUCUAAGCAAUUAAAGAUAGAAUUUCAUCUGUUGAAGUUCCUCCGGUUUAUGUUGUCAUUUCUGUAAAUAAACAUUUCAUAUGAAUUUGAAAUUUCAUCAAGUACAGUUGACAGGUAAUUUGCUAAUUUUCUUCACUGGAUUCUUGAAAUAUGUAUCUGUUGAAUUGGGGAAAGCUUUGAAGUAAAAUGUUCAGCUAAUAUUGGAACCUGUUGUUGGAUUUCGUGUUGACUUUAUAUUUGUCCUGAGAAGAGCAAAAAAACCUGGAAUGAUCGGACUCGGCUGUGGAUCAUGAAAAUUAGCAUCUAUGAAAUGCCAUUUGGUGUUUGAUGAGUUAGUUAUUAAAUGAACACGUG